GGUCCCAAGGGUUCGGCUGUUCGCCGAUUAAAGUGGCACGCGAGCUGGGUUCAGAACGUCGUGAGACAGUUCGGUCCCUAUCCGUCGUGGGCGUAGGAUAUUUGAGAGGAGCUGUCCUUAGUACGAAAGGACCGGGAUGGACACACCUAUCGUGCAUCAGUUGUCGCGCCAGCGGCAUAGCUGAGUAGCGAAGUGUGGUAGUGAUAAGCGCUGAAAGCAUCUAAGUGCGAAACAUACCUCAAGAUUAGAUAUCCCAUAUCGUUAAGGUAGUAAGACCCCUUGUAGACUACAAGGUUGAUAGGUCGGAGGUGUAAGUACAGUAAUGUAUUGAGCUGACCGAUACUAAUAGGUCGAGGGCUUAUUCAAAA
rnacentral:rRNA from 1 species